GACGAACGCUGGCGGCGUGCCUAAUACAUGCAAGUAGAACGCACAGUUUAUACCGUAGCUUGCUACACCAUAGACUGUGAGUUGCGAACGGGUGAGUAACGCGUAGGUAACCUGCCUGGUAGCGGGUGAUAACUAUUGGAAACGAUAGCUAAUACCGCAUAAUAUUGAUUAUUGCAUGAUAAUUAAUUGAAAGGUGCAAUUGCACCACUACCAGAUGGACCUGCGUUGUAUUAGCUAGUAGGUGAGGUAACGGCUCACCUAGGCGACGAUACAUAGCCGACCUGAGAGGGUGAUCGGCCACACUGGGACUGAGACACGGCCCAGACUCCUACGGGAGGCAGCAGUAGGGAAUCUUCGGCAAUGGACGAAAGUCUGACCGAGCAACGCCGCGUGAGUGAAGAAGGGUUUCGGAUCGUAAAGCUCUGUUGUAAGAGAAGAACGGGUGUGAGAGUGGAAAGUUCACACUGUGACGGUAUCUUACCAGAAAGGGACGGCUAACUACGUG
rnacentral:rRNA from 1 species